rnacentral:rRNA from 1 species
AGCGAACGCUGGCGGCAGGCUUAACACAUGCAAGUCGAACGGGCACUUCGGUGCUAGUGGCAGACGGGUGAGUAACGCGUGGGAACGUGCCUUUAGGUUCGGAAUAACUCAGGGAAACUUGUGCUAAUACCGAAUGUGCCCUUCGGGGGAAAGAUUUAUCGCCUUUAGAGCGGCCCGCGUCUGAUUAGCUAGUUGGUGAGGUAAAGGCUCUCCAAGGCGACGAUCAGUAGCUGGUCUGAGAGGAUGAUCAGCCACAUUGGGACUGAGACACGGCCCAAACUCCUACGGGAGGCAGCAGUGGGGAAUCUUGCGCAAUGGGCGAAAGCCUGACGCAGCCAUGCCGCGUGAGGGAUGAAGUAUUUCGGUAUGUAAACCUCUUUUGAUCCGCGUCGAGCGGGAUAGAAUAAGCACCUACAAACUACGUGCCAGCCGCCGCGGUAAUAC